GAGUACAGCCGUAGCAAGCCUGCUGUUUGUCUUCAGGAUUAAUGUCUCAUCUCUGUGGGCCUCAUGUGUUUGCGCAGCCAUAGCAGGUCAGGGAAUAUCGAGCUUGUUUCUGCCAAGGAGUGGGUGCUGCUCAAAUGCACAGCUUAGAAAGAAAAAUACAUCCAGAGCCUUCAAAGUGUAAGAAAACAUUGAUGGCAGCAGUCCAGUUACAAGAAAAAAAACGGGGGCAAACUUAAGAGGCUUGACAAUGACGAUGUAAGUCUGGAACCAAGAUAUGAAUGCUGGACCAACUGAUCUGAUUUUCACCGUACUCCUUGUGGAUAAACUCUUUGACACCUAAGCAGAUGGCCAGGAUUUCUUUUUUUUUUCCAGCAGUGGAGCAUAUGCAAGCCCCAAAAAAGGUCGUUCAAAAUGAUUAUGCGGGUCCAAAGGAAAUUUCCCAGCAAUAAUCAGUAAUUUACUUCAGAAAGAGAUCCAGGAGGAUGGCAAAAAUUCAACACAAGUUUUAAAAACUGCAGGGAGCUGAUUGCGAUGCACUCGCUGAGGUUAACAGCACCGCUGUAUUCCGAGGCCAGGCCAUCAGAGCCGAAGGAACAUCAGAGCUGCACUUCACCUGCCUGAAGUCACAUGGUGCUACCUGAUGCAAGAGCCUACCUGGUAUUGGGUACUCCCCAUACUGUGGAACUCUCGGAUAACUUUCAUACCACUCCCUUUACAGUGAGAAAUUUGUUUUGAAAUUAGAACAAAUAUCAAUUACAUCCAGAGAUCCAGUACAUAUUAAUUUAAUGUCAAAAGUCAAUUAAAGUGAUAAAAAUUUGUCUCAAAUCUUGCAGACAUGUGUAUGAAGUAGCACUGUAACCCCUCUUUCUUGCAUAGGUGUGAUGUCCACCCACUUCCUACCAUGCCUCAUUUGUGUCCUGAGUUUCUGUAUUUAAAAUAGCAGCUUGUCAAGAUUCCCAACCACAUAUGUUAGCACUAGUACAUUGCAUUUUUCAGUUGUGUUAAGAUUUUACAACUCAUAUCCUCCAUGCCAAUGUACCAAAUCUCAGGUGAGAAAAGGCUAAAAGGAGGCCACUUCAUCUGUGAACUAUAAUGAAGAGACAUCCAUUUUCAGAAAGUCAGAAUUUAGGACUUCUGUUGAACACAAGAUAUUGCAGAACUGAGUGCAGUGCAGUGCCUCUAAAAAUAAAUUCAGUUAUUAAAAGGUACUGUAUUUCCCUGGUACA